GCGGACGUGGCGAAAUCGGUAGACGCAGCGGACUUAAAAUCCGCUUCCCCAGGGAGUGCGGGUUCAAGUCCCGCCGUCCGCACCA
rnacentral:tRNA from 1 species